rfam:Aedes aegypti strain Liverpool supercont1.64 genomic scaffold, whole genome shotgun sequence.
GGCUCGGUAGCUCAGUUGGUAAAGAACUCGUCUAACAUACAAGAAUCGUAGGUUCGAAUUCCACCCGAGCAC